rnacentral:rRNA from 1 species
UACGGAGGGUGCAAGCGUUAAUCGGAAUUACUGGGCGUAAAGCGCACGUAGGUGGUUUGUUAAGCCAGCUGUGAAAUCCCCGGGCUCAACCUGGGCACUGCAGUUGGAACUGGCAAGCUAGAGUAGGGUAGAGGGGUGUGGAAUUCCAGGUGUAGCGGUGAAAUGCGUAGAUAUCUGGAGGAACAUCAGUGGCGAAGGCGCCACCCUGGACUCAUACUGACACUGAGGUGCGAAAGCGUGGGGAGCAAACAGG